GCCCCGUCAGCUCAAUUGGCAGGAGCGCCGGAUUGUCGAUCCGGAGGCCGCGGGUUCGAAUCCCGCACGGGGCGCCA
rnacentral:tRNA from 1 species